rnacentral:rRNA from 1 species
ACUCAAAUGAAUAGACGGGGGCCCGCACAAGCGGUGGAGCAUGUGGUUUAAUUCGAUGCAACGCGAAGAACCUUACCUACCCUUGACAUCCUGGGAAUCUUAUAGAGAUAUGAGAGUGCCGAAAGGAACCCAGAGACAGGUGCUGCAUGGCUGUCGUCAGCUCGUGUCGUGAGAUGUUGGGUUAAGUCCCGUAACGAGCGCAACCCUUGUCCUUAGUUGCCAGCACGUAAAGGUGGGAACUCUAAGGAGACUGCCGGUGAUAAACCGGAGGAAGGUGGGGAUGAGGUCAAGUCAUCAUGGCCUUUAUGGGUAGGGCCACACACGUGCUACAAUGGUUGUUACAAAGGGAAGCGAACCUGCGAAGGGGAGCAAAUCUCAAAAAGGCAAUCGUAGUCCGGAUUGGAGUCUGCAACUCGACUCCAUGAAGUUGGAAUCGCUAGUAAUCGCGGAUCAGAACGCCGCGGUGAAUACGUUCCCGGGCCUUGCACACACCGCCCGU